CCUACGGGGGGCAGCAGUGGGGAAUAUUGGACAAUGGGGGGAACCCUGAUCCAGCCAUGCCGCGUGUGUGAAGAAGGCCCUCGGGUUGUAAAGCACUUUCAGUGAGGAAGAACGCCUGGUGGUGAAUACCCAUCAGGAAAGACAUCACUCACAGAAGAAGCACCGGCUAACUCCGUGCCAGCAGCCGCGGUAAUACGGAGGGUGCGAGCGUUAAUCGGAAUUACUGGGCGUAAAGCGCGCGUAGGUGGCUUGAUAAGCCGGUUGUGAAAGCCCCGGGCUCAACCUGGGAACGGCAUCCGGAACUGUCAAGCUAGAGUGCAGGAGAGGAAGGUAGAAUUCGCGGUGUAGCGGUGAAAUGCGUAGAGAUCGGGAGGAAUACCAGUGGCGAAGGCGGCCUUCUGGACUGACACUGACACUGAGGUGCGAAAGCGUGGGUAGCAAACAGGAUUAGAUACCCUGGUAGUC
rnacentral:rRNA from 1 species